rnacentral:rRNA from 1 species
AUGGCUCAGAUUGAACGCUGGCGGCAGGCCUAACACAUGCAAGUCGAACGGUAGCACAGAGAGCUUGCUCUCGGGUGACGAGCGGCGGACGGGUGAGUAAUGUCUGGGAAACUGCCUGAUGGAGGGGGAUAACUACUGGAAACGGUAGCUAAUACCGCAUAACGUCGCAAGACCAAAGAGGGGGACCUUCGGGCCUCUUGCCAUCAGAUGUGCCCAGAUGGGAUUAGCUAGUAGGUGGGGUAACGGCUCACCUAGGCGACGAUCCCCAGCUGGUCUGAGAGGAUGACCAGCCACACUGGAACUGAGACACGGUCCAGACUCCUACGGGAGGCAGCAGUGGGGAAUAUUGCACAAUGGGCGCAAGCCUGAUGCAGCCAUGCCGCGUGUAUGAAGAAGGCCUUCGGGUUGUAAAGUACUUUCAGCGGGGAGGAAGGCGAUAAGGUUAAUAACCUUGUUGAUUGACGUUACCCGCAGAAGAAGCACCGGCUAACUCCGUGCCAGCAGCCGCGGUAAUACGGAGGGUGCAAGCGUUAUCCGGAUUUAUUGGGUUUAAAGGGUGCGUAGGCGGAGAUUUAAGUCAGCGGUGAAAGUUUGAGGCUCAACCUUAAAAUUGCCGUUGAAACUGGGUUUCUUGAGUGUAUUUGAAGUAGGCGGAAUUCGUUGUGUAGCGGUGAAAUGCAUAGAUAUAACGAAGAACUCCAAUUGCGCACGCAGCUUACUAAACUACAACUGACGCUGAAGCACGAAAGCGUGGGUAUCAAACAGGAUUAGAUACCCUGGUAGUCCACGCAGUAAACGAUGAUUACUAGCUGUUUGUGAUAUUACAAUAAGUGGCUAAGCGAAAGCGAUAAGUAAUCCACCUGGGGAGUACGCCGGCACGGUGAACUCAAAAGGAUUGACGGGGGCCCGCACAGCGAGACAUGUGGUUUAUUCGAUGAUACGCGAG